UACGUAGGGUGCAAGCGUUAAUCGGAAUUACUGGGCGUAAAGCGUGCGCAGGCGGUGAUGUAAGACAGGUGUGAAAUCCCCGGGCUUAACCUGGGAACUGCAUUUGUGACUGCAUCGCUGGAGUGCGGCAGAGGGGGAUGGAAUUCCGCGUGUAGCAGUGAAAUGCGUAGAGAUCCGGAGGAACACCAAAGGCGAAGGCAGUGUCCUGGGGAGUACCUGACGCUCAGGUGCGAAAGCCAGGGGAGCGAACGGG
rnacentral:rRNA from 1 species